CUGAUNCAGCCAUGCCGCGUGAGUGAAGAAGGCCUUCGGGUUGUAAAGCUCUUUCAGAUGCGAAGAUGAUGACGGUAACAUCAGAAGAAGCCCCGGCUAAUUUCGUGCCAGCAGCCGCGGUAAU
rnacentral:rRNA from 1 species